UGUCCUCAUUGGUUAGUGAGCUAAUACGUAAUGUAUACGUCACUAGAAACGUUAGGUCUGUAGCUUCCUGAAGGCUUUUUGGGCAGUGUAGUUCCUUUCCGACACUCGAAGUAAAAUAGACAAGCAGCUCUUCAGUCCCCCGAGAAAAUUGGGCCAGGGAUCCCGCUCCUGCCCAAUGUGUUCAAACAGCCAUGGCUUGAACAGUUGCUCUGUUUAUCUGUGCUACCCGCAAAUCCAUCCUACCUUGUGGUAAAGCGCAUGCGCACAUCGAUGCUACGUCAGAUAUUGCUUACUCAGCAGUUUUCUUGUAAAUACGUCCUAGCUGUGGAAGUUUUGUUUCAUGUGUUUUAUUUCAUCGAAGAUUACGGAACACAAUGACCUGCGCAGUUCGGUGGACACAUUGUGGCUGCGCUGCAUUUGAUCAAGUCUGUCAUACAACGUAAACGUAUUAAUGCGCAAAAAAGAGUUGCGGUGAUCUGUUGACUGUGUUUAAUUUAAUUCCAAUAAAAACGUGUUUCCCAUGUC